AGACAGCAGCAGCCGCGGGAAUACAGAGGGUGCGAGCGUUAAUCGGAUUUACUGGGCGUAAAGCGUGCGUAGGCGGCUUCUUAAGUCGGAUGUGAAAUCCCUGAGCUUAACUUAGGAAUUGCAUUCGAUACUGGGAAGCUAGAGUAUGGGAGAGGAUGGUAGAAUUCCAGGUGUAGCGGUGAAAUGCGUAGAGAUCUGGAGGAAUACCGAUGGCGAAGGCAGCCAUCUGGCCUAAUACUGACGCUGAGGUACGAAAGCAUGGGGAGCAAACAGGAUUAGAUACCCCGGUAGUCCCUGUCUCUUAUAA
rnacentral:rRNA from 1 species